UUUUUUUUUUUUUUAUCUUUUAUUUAAUGAAUAUAAAUUCCAAAGUACGACUCAUGUGUUACAAUGGCUUCCCCCCCCAUACCGUCCCUCCCACCCACAAACCCUCCCCUUUCCCACUCCUUCUCCCCUUCCAUUCACAUCAAGAUUCAUUUUCGAUUAUCUUAAUAUACAGAAGAUCAGCUUAGUAUACCUUAAGUAAGUAUUUCAACAGUUUGCUCCCACACAGAAACAUAAAGUGAAAAAUAAUAGAUGAUUUUUUUAAAUGAUGAUGAAAUCAGAUCAGACCUAUUGUCAUGUUUAAUCUGGGUUCAUUUCUUAUCCUUGGAGUCCCUGUGAUGGGCUGGAGCUGAGUUAAUGAGACAGCCCCGGGACCCCGAGAGCUCACCUCCCAGGGGAGGCACAGAAAUCAAACAGCACACACACUGAGGGUUAGAAUAGCAUGGAGGAAAGGGAUGAGUGAGUCGGCAGUGGGGUGGCAGGGCCCAGGCAGGCCUCAGUGACUCAGCAGUAUUGGAGUAACGAUGCCGGGAAAGCCAGGUGGGUGUCUGGGUGUGCGCGUGGCAGAGCAAGGCAGGCCCAUGCCAAGGUCCUGCUGCAGGCAGGCAUGGGAUUGGGGGUGGGGGCACGGCAGGCUUGAGCAGAGAGGAGCGGGGCUGGAUGGAGCUGAGGUCAGAAGCCACAGGGGAGGAGGUGGCUGCAGAGAUCCGGGUGAGGGUGAGCAAGCGGUGGCUGUUGGGUACCACAUCUGACCAGAGUCCAGGCCAGUGGUACGUGAGUGGAGCACCCCAGGGCUGCGGCCUGAGCAGAUGGAAAGCCUGGAGGUGGGGGCCCCGGGAGGAGGACUUAUCGGGCUGCUCUGUGACAUGCAGGGGAGGGGGAGGGGCCUGAUCCAGGGCGUGGCUCAGAGGGGGCAGGGGCCAGGGCCCUGGGUGCUGUGUGCUGUGGGAAGUAGGGCACAGGGGAACCUAGGCUCAUGUCAGCAUUGCCUCCUCUGGGCGGGGGAGAAGAACCAGACCCUCCAGACUCUCAGGAUCCCUGACCCGGGGCUGAAGGCAGAGAGAGAGUUUGUUGGAAGCUCCUUGGAGAAGCGCCACAGGAAUCAGGGCGAAGGUGCUGUCAGGCCGAAGGAAGCGGUGAUCCGAGCGGCAGCCCGGUUCUUUCCUCAAAUUAAAUUACACAUCAUUUCCUUGUCCUUAAUAAAAUAAUUACUGCCUCCACUCUCUUCCCUUAGCGCGCAGGUCUCUGAAUGCGGAAGGAGCUGCAGGUGCUGCACUGGCCCCAUCCUGCACCCUGCGCCCCCCGCCCGGACCCCACCUCACCCAUCGGUCUAUGGCUACCGGCCUGGCCACUCCAGUCUCACUUCUGCGCGGUGGCCGUGAGCCCUGGGUGACCACCCGGGACAACGGCGGGUGUUCGCCAUCGCGCUAGUGCGUGCCGAGCACGAGAAAAGUUGCCACCCACGUGUUCCUCAUCACCUGUGACCCCUGCUGACCUCCCCCACUCCUGCUUCCUGCAGUGUGAUCUGGGACCCCACAG
rnacentral:lncRNA from 1 species